ACUCCUACGGGAGGCAGCAGUAGGGAAUCUUCCACAAUGGACGAAAGUCUGAUGGAGCAACGCCGCGUGAGUGAAGAAGGGUUUCGGCUCGUAAAACUCUGUUGUUAAAGAAAGAACAUAUCUGAGAGUAACUGUUCAGGUAUUGACGGUAUUUAACCAGAAAGCCACGGCUAACUACGUGCCAGCAGCCGCGGUAAUACGUAGGUGGCAAGCGUUGUCCGGAUUUAUUGGGGCGUAAAGCGAGCGCAGGCGGUUUUUAAGUCUGAUGUGAAAGCCUUCGGCUCAACCGAAGAAGUGCAUCGGAAACUGGGAAACUUGAGUGCAGAAGAGGACAGUGGAACUCCAUGUGUAGCGGUGAAAUGCGUAGAUAUAUGGAAGAACACCAGUGGCGAAGGCGGCUGUCUGGUCUGUAACUGACGCUGAGGCUCGAAAGUAUGGGUAGCAAACAGGAUUAGAUACCCUGGUAGGAUA
rnacentral:rRNA from 1 species